rnacentral:rRNA from 1 species
AUGGCAGCCCAGGGUCUUCUCUCUGGGAGGCAGCUGCUGGGGAGGCCUCUGCAGUCCUCCAUCUCCAGGUCGUCUUCCUCCCGGAAGUCCCCCUUCGUCGUCAGGGCAUCGUCCAGCCCCCCUGCCAAGCAAAAUGACAACAGGCAGCUGUGGUUCGCGUCCAAGCAGUCCCUCACCUACCUCGACGGCACGCUGCCCGGUGACUUUGGUUUCGACCCCUUGGGGCUGUCCGACCCGGAGGGCACCGGCGGGUUCAUCGAGCCCAGGUGGCUGGCCUACGGCGAGAUCUUCAACGGCCGGACGGCGAUGAUGGGGGUGGUGGGCAUGAUCGCCCCGGAGGCCCUGGGCAAGGUGGGCCUGGUGCCCCCGGAGACGGCGAUCCCGUGGUUCCAGGCAGGCGCGAUCCCGCCGGCGGGCACCUACCAGUACUGGGCCGACCCAUACACGCUCUUCGUGUUCGAGAUGGCGCUCAUCGGCUUCGCGGAGCACCGGCGGCUCCAGGACUGGUACAACCCGGGCUCCAUGGGGAAGCAGUACUUCCUGGGCCUUGAGAAGUACCUCGGCGGCUCCGGCGACCCCGCCUACCCCGGCGGGCCCAUCUUCAACCCGCUCGGGUUCGGGACCAAGAGCGAGAAGGAGAUGAAGGAGCUCAAGCUCAAGGAGAUCAAGAACGGCCGCCUCGCCAUGCUCGCCUUCCUCGGCAUGUCCCUGCAGGCCAUCUUCACCGGCGUCGGGCCCUUCCAGAACCUCCUCGACCACCUCUCAGACCCCGUCAACAACAACAUCCUCACCAGCCUCAAGUUCCACUAG